rfam:Camelus ferus unplaced genomic scaffold scaffold1592, whole genome shotgun sequence.
GAGGGUGUAGCUCAGUGGUAGAGUGUGUGCUUAGCAUGCACGAGGUCCUGGGUUCAAUCCCCAGUACCUCCU